rnacentral:rRNA from 1 species
UGCGCAGGCGGCUUGCUAAGUCGGAUGUGAAAGCCCCGGGCUUAACCUGGGAAUUGCAUUCGAUACUGGCGAGCUAGAGUCUGGUAGAGGUAAGCGGAAUUCCGGGUGUAGCGGUGAAAUGCGUAGAUAUCCGGAGGAACAUCAGUGGCGAAGGCGGCUUACUGGACCAAGACUGACGCUCAGGCACGAAAGCGUGGGUAGCAAACA